AUUGAACGCUGGCGGCAGGCCUAACACAUGCAAGUCGAACGAGUGGCGGACGGGUGAGUAAUGUCUGGGAAACUGCCCGAUGGAGGGGGAUAACUACUGGAAACGGUAGCUAAUACCGCAUACCAUCGGAUGUGCCCAGAUGGGAUUAGCUGGUAGUGGGGGUAAAGGCUCACCUAGGCGACGAUCCCUAGCUGGUCUGAGAGGAUGACCAGCCACACUGGAACUGAGACACGGUCCGGACUCCGACGGGGGGCAGAAGUGGGGAAUAUUGGACAAGGGGCGCAAGCCUGAUGCAGCCAUGCCGCGUGUAUGAAGAAGGCCUUCGGGUUGUAAAGUACUUUCAGCGGGGAGGCGUUACCCGCAGAAGAAGCACCGGCUAACUCCGUGCCAGCAGCCGCGGUAAUAC
rnacentral:rRNA from 1 species